rnacentral:siRNA from 1 species
GAUUCACCGGAUAAACUCAGUGCC